GUGCUCACUUCAGUAGCACAUAUAUUAAAUUUGAAACAGCAUAGAGAUUACCAUGGCCCCUGAACAAAGAUGACUUACAGAUUCCUGAAGCAUUCCACAUUUUA
ensembl:snRNA U6 U6 spliceosomal RNA